CUUCCACAGGAUGGUUCAGGAGAACAUCACAAUGUCCCACAGGAUGAUCAGGUUCAGAAUCCAGGUGAAGAUCUGAACAUUAUAUAUGUUACAGAGACACAUGUGAGGGGUGAUGUGCAGAGUAUAGAGGACAUCCCUACAGAUAACUGCCCAGAUGACUAUAUCAUGAGCUCAAAGGGACUUCCGAUACCUAAAGAUGUAAAAGCAAAUGAUCAUGCUCUGGUACAAGAUGCUUAUGAAGUAUAUGUCAUUAUCCCAGAUACACCCUCAGCCUUGCAAAGCAACAGUCAAUCAUCUGAUCUUUUUCAGCGAGUCCUGCGUUUUGAU